CACACGUAUAGAAGUUAUCUUGCUUAGAAAACGAAAUCGAUGAAGCAGUGGACCGCGCAUACGCCAGAUCUGGCUAACUUAUACGACCUGCUAAAACUGCGAGUUCAGACAACGACAGAAUUUCGAGCAUUUAUUUGCAGCGAUUAUUCCAUUGGGAUCCUUUCGCAUCUGAAGCAUCCACCCUCUGAAGCACACAAUCGAGUAGGUAACUGAUCGAACGUUGCAAAGGUCCUUGUCGUUUUCAUUGAAUGGAGACCAACAGAACGAUAACUAUACAUUUACAUUAUAUUUCGGAACGGCGAUCACUGCAGUUGGUUCUAGCAAUGGAACUGUGCUAGGACAUGUUGAAGUACCUAAAUCGAAUUGAGUAAACGUAGAAUUUCAAGCUCCUCAAUAUAAUAUGAUAGAAUUUUAAAAUGGAGGCCGCGAUUAAUCGAUCGCUUUCUUUAGACACGCCAAAUAAAUACUUUCGUAGACGCUGUGCUGCUGCUGUUGUUGUGCGGGUAUAUGGGCGUAUGAAGGAAAAGCCAGCCCCAUUUGCCGCCCUCUCAUGGAUUUCGGUACCUGUCAGAUGAUAACAUCAUCAAACCGAGAACGAGGUACAAACAACCCACAUAGAGCACACGCAUGCAGACAACGCAAUGGGACGUAUUGCUUGUAAGGCAGCACCGUCAAAUUUUCCACCGGAAUAAAAUUGUUACCGUCUACGAAUAAGUUGGUGCAAAUAUCUAUUAUAUUAAGGCUGAAAAACACAAUAAGAAGCUCACGGCUCAUGAGGAGGAGGAGCGCACAAAUUGAAAAAUGGGCUGCAAUUUUUUGUCGACAAUUUACUAACCGGACGUCAUUGAAAAAAACUGCUGAAAAAAUUAUGAGUUGGGUUUGAACUGAAUAGGGUAUACUUAAACCUUGAUUGGGAGUCCAUCAAGGGGGGAGUAAAUCAGAUUCGGUUCAUGUUUUAGAAUAAUGAACAAGCCGGGCUACUACCAUCGAAAACGUUCGUUUUCUCUAAGAUGAAGGACAUCUUCAUCUUCACACCAGAUUAUCUCAUUAUUUGUAACAGUUUUACAAGGUAUCCGUUCGCGUCAAAUCAACCGGAUUCGGUAAAAGUUGGACAGGUCGAACAAUCUCUGAUUGUACAAAAAAGUAGUAUAUUUGUGGAUG